rnacentral:rRNA from 1 species
GGGGAAUGCCUUGGCUCUCAGAGGCGAAGAAGGACGUGUUAAGCUGCGAAAAGCUACAGGGAGCUGCACAAAAGCUUUGAUCUGUAGAUAUCCGAAUGGGGCAACCCACUUAGUUGAAGACUAAGUAUUCGCCGUAAGGCGGAGGUGAACCCGGAGAACUGAAACAUCUAAGUACCCCGAGGAAAAGAAAUCAACCGAGAUUCCCUCAGUAGCGGCGAGCGAACGGGGAAAAGCCCAU